CCACUCCAUCUAUGUUCUCCUCUGUUCCUUCGCCUGAGGCCACCGCGCCCCUGCACGCGUGGCACGCAACAACCCUAGCCGCCACGCGUCGCCGGCGUGGCUCCGGCAGCUCCGGUUUAUCGACCCACUACCCCUGCGGCCCUGCCUCACCUCACGCGCGGCAGCACGCUCGAGCUUGACGUUGAUCGAUGUACAACACUUAUGCAUUACAAUCAGGAGAAAUCCAUGCAGAAGAAGCCUGAAGAAUUAUUCAAGUUAUUUGUUUAUAGCAUGGUGAGGAUCCUUUCGCUAGUUCAUGUUACAGUAAGGAAAACAUGAAUUUGUAUCUUAUUCUUUUUUUUGGUUGAUGUAAUAUUUGUUUUCCCCUGGCAAAAAGUUAUAUUAGUUUCAGUUUCUUAUUCAGUUAAAAUGUGCACACUACAAUCUCGAAGUUUAUGCAAAAGCUCAGAUGGAAAUCAUUCUUACACUCAUGUUAUCCAAUAUAAAUUGUUAAAUAAUUGAAAAAAUUUGAAGGUGCG